AUGGACUGAGGAGCAGGAAAUAUGGACAGGGAAUAUGACUGCCCUCUUUGGUGUUGUUUAAUAGUCAGAUUUUCAAGUGAGCUGGCAGCAUCACUUCCACCUUCUUUGUUCCUGCCAGUUCUAAACCUUAUGCCUCUCUAGACGUCAUCUAUACAACAUGGUAUUGUCAUGGGGUCUAGAGACAGAGUACAUAGCUCCAUCACGUCUUAGCUAGGUAAUAUGUGCAUAUUAUUAAAUGACUUUGUGCUUUUAGUUUACUUAUAUUCAAAAUGAAAUAUAAUGGUACUUGUUGCAGAGGAUGGCUGUGUUAAAUGAGUUACUAUAUAUAAACUGUUUGGCAUGAGAAAGUGGUUUUUAAGUGUUAGCUACUAAAUUACUCCAAAUACUUUCUCCCACUUCAUUAUUAACAACAGAACCUUAAUUUUGUUCAAGAUGAUAAGUUAGAAUUACUAAUUUUCUGAGAUUACCUUCUAGGUAGAUUUAGAUAUGUAAUACAAUUCAGAUCAAUAGAAUUCAAGAAGAAAACUGAUGGAUGAAGCUCUGAAAGAACUUAAAAUGUUGGUCAAAAGCCAGAAUGUAUCUUUUCUUCUUGUCCUUUACCCUGUAGUUCCUAUUUGGAAUGGGAUGCAAUGCUUAGAUAUUCAAGAGCCACACUGCAAUCACAAGAACAAAAUCCACACACUUUAGAACAUAGAUAUAAACGAGAAACACCCAGUGCUGAUGACUUCCUUUAGCAGUACUUCAACCCAGAAGUAACCUGGAAUUCUUACUCUGUGAGGAGGAAAACACCUGUUUUGUUACACACUGUUUGGGGUUUUUUGUUACACACUGUUUGGGGUUUUUAGUUAUAUACAGCCAAAGGCCAUCCUAACUCCUACCCAAGGGACCUUCCAGGCAGGGUGGUGUGAUCUUCUUGUGUUUUGAAAUCUUGGUUUGGGGGAAAUUAUUUUCUUAUUCUGCUUUAUACUUCAAUAGAUUUCCAUGUUCUUUUCACAUUUUAGAAAUUGGUUUGUUAUCUACAAAUAAUUUCAAAAACUUCUUCCCAUCCUCUUUACCUUUAAGGUUGACUCCUUUUCUUUUCUUUUUUUUUCUUUUUACCACCACACCUGUGGCAUAUGGAAGUUCCUGGGCUAGGGUUUGAAUCAGAGCUGCAGCUGCCGGCCUAUACCACAGCCACAGCAACACAAGAUCUGAGCCACAUUUGCAACCUAAGCCAGAGCUUGUGGCAAUUCUGGAUCCUUAACCCACUGAGGGAGGCCAGGGAUCAAACCUGCAUCCUCAUGGACAUUACGUCAGGCUCCUAACCCACUGAGCCACAAUGGACACUCUGGUUUAUUCCUUUUCUAUCCUUGUAUUUUAUUCUCUAGAGGAAAGGGAAAUAACAACAGUAAUACCUAAAAUGGGGAUUCAGAUCUUUAAUGAUUUAGGGGUCAUGGGCAAUGUGAAAAAAUGAAGUAUCCAUUUACAAGAUACUGUUAAAAAAAGGAAAAUAUAUGUCCCUGUUAAAGAUGCUUAAAUUCAAUUAAAAUAAAUAUAUCACUGAAAGACUAUAUACCUUAGGUCCAAUGUGACUAUAGACCGCAAUUCUGUAAAUUCUGAAUCUGAUUGAAAGACAUACAUAAAUGUGAGAGAACUCUCAUACUUAGUCAACUGCAACACACAUUUUCAUUCAUACACCAACAUUAGAAACAACAAAACAACAUGCUAUUAAAACCUUUUAAAAUUAAGAGUAUUUAGCUAAAACACCUCCACUUGUUUUCUUCUAAACAGUUUUUCCCCUUUUUGAAUUUUGACUGCUACAAAACAUAAUAUAGUAACUCUAAUAUUACACUCAAAUAAAAAUCCUCUCUUUGGGGGUUGCUAUGGCUUUGAAAGAAAACCAACCAUAGGCAAAAAUGUCAGAUAGCAAAAUGUGCAUUUCUUACCCCCACCCCUCCUCAGUUUCUUUCCUCUCCUUAGAUUAAUCUGUAAGUUGAGGAGCUGCAUUAUAGUAAUGGCUUUAAGGCUUUUACUGCCUAACAAAGCAGUCAUUACUGAUGAUACCAAUUUCUGCACAUAAACCACCAGUAUGUAUACCUUGCCUUCCUAUAAGACUGCACCUGAAUGGAACCAACCAGAGACCAGGCCUGUGCUGCUCCCAUUUCCUACAGGGAUGAGUGGACCUCAGAGCAGUAAGGGCUAGCUGUGGCUGUUCUAUUGAUUGGUCAAUUCUUUGGCUCUACAUAAUUAUUUCUGCACAGAUAAAAUUUUGCCAGCAGGGAAAAUGAGUUUCAGAUUGGAAAAGUGUGCUUCUUAAGCUCACACAGUGGCUGUAGAAGCUGGGAUUCUAUCCAUGCACCGCCUAGUUGGAAAACUGUUGGAGUUUUGUUUAUGUCAUUCAAGCUUCCCUAAUAGCAGACAAUUACAAAAUCUGGACUCUUAAACAAAUAGUAAGUGGACUAGACUGAAAAUCGGACAACAAGUAUUCUAGUUCAGACUCAUCAACUUGGAGAAUUUUAUUGAUCACUUAGCCUAAUGUUCACAAUGGUAAUCAUUAAAAUUUUUUUCAGAUUUCAAAUUCUAGGCAUCUGUGAUUUAGUUUGCUUUAAGUACUAUAUCUUAAGCUAUGAAUUUCUAAAUAAUUGGAACUUUAUCUAAAUAUUUCACUUAUGUAGUGCUUAUACACUUAAAGAGACCUUGAAAAUUUUCUUGAUAAUGUUGACAGUUUGUCAGACUUUAAAUGCAUUUUCCUUAUUACCUUUUCAUCUCUAUUUUAAUACGUUAAGGAACUCCAUAUAGGAAAGACUUAAACAAUCAUAUCUUUGGAACUAGUUUCAUUGAAAAGUCCCAGUCCAGAUGACUGAAUAAAGGGAACAUGAACUUUUAUCAUGUUUUGGCAGUUGUGGGAAAUAGAACCUUAGUUUAAUUUAGUAUAGAGAAUAUAGUACAUUGGGCUUUGUAUAACAUAGAUAAAUACUUAUUAGAAUAUUUGGUAGGAGGAAGUUUUGACAUCCUUAGGACCAUUAGAAAACUUAGUUCAUGACUUCAGACUAGGAGAUUUUAUACAAAUUACUAUAAAAUUUCAUUUACAUAUACCCUUGGUAAUAUAAAAUUUGAAUUUCAAAAGACCAAAGCAGAUAUGGUGAAUAAUAGUUUGUGUUUCAACCAUGCAUAUUCUAAAAGAGUUUUGGACUUAACUUUAAAGCCCCCUUUUCCUGUAAAAAACCUGCUCUGUCACAUUGUCACACAACAUCCUGUCACCCUAUUUUCCCAGGCUGCCAGGAAACUGUCCCCUAUUGAUGGCUGAAAUGGGGAAAUACUUCUUACUGAUCAUCUCCUCAACCUCAUCAUCAUGAGUUACUUAGGUGAGACAAUCAGGAAAUUCUGAGUCGUUUACUUUUUUUUUUUAAUGAUGAGGUAAAAAUCUCUCUUCCAACGAAGUAUAAUAAAGCCAAGACUUUCGUAUUGAAAUUUCACUCCGGUGUUUGAAUUCUCAUCUUUCAUCAAACAGUAGAAAAUAUAUAUAUACAUUGUGUGUUUGCUAUGAAUUUAGCCAUCCUUCUCAGGACUAGCUUUUCUACUUGGAAAAUUAGCCAAAAUAUAGAUCUGGUCACAGUCAAGAUUUUUCUUGCCAUAAUGGCUGAAAUGCUACAAUAAUAGAGUUUUACUUAUAUUAAAAAUGAAUAACUUUAUAUGGGCCAACCAUUUAUACUCUAAUUUUAAUUACUGAAAUUAUAAUUUGACAUUUUUAUAACUAGAUGAACUGUAAACAUUAAAGAGAGUACAAAUAAGAAAAGGGAAAUUAAUUUGGGAUUUUAACAUUAAGAAGGUAGUGCUGGUUGGGCUACAAGUAGGAUUUGGUCCUAUAACUCAUUCACUGAGUCAUCCAUCCAUUCAUGUUUUCAACCAAAUGUACUUCUUAGUAUUUGUAAUGUACCACUAUCUUUUCUAAAGGCUGGAGAUAGAAAGACAAGUUGCAGACAGAAACAAAAUGACAAUAUUUAAUAACUGUGCUCUAGGCGAUGAAGAUGAUCUUGAGAUGAACAGAAAGCUAAGCAAAAGGGAGCCUGUGUCAAAUUUUGACUACUCGUAUACUUGGCCCCAGGCCAGCCCUGCUUUUCUUCAUGAUGACACUUUAGCGAGAGUAAACAAAAGCAAUGUGUGUAGAUUAGAGCAAAAACAAACAAACCCAUAUCUUUCAGCCUUUUACCAACAACUAUUACUUCUGUAUGGGAGUACUUGUAUAGUCUCAAUAAAACAAUCUGAUUGCAAUAACAGUUUAUUUGACAACUUUUGUGACCUAAAAUGUGCAUUAAUUUUUAUUUAGUAUACCUACAGGUUUAUGGUUCACCACAUUGUAAAUGAUAUGGAAGGUUCCCCUUACUGAAAUAAAUAACAAUAUAAAAUAUCAAUAAACACAGAAAAUGAUGAAGAUAUUGAUUUUAAUUAAAUGAAUGCCUCAGUGAUUUUUCUUCAGUCUCAUUCUUUUCAUAUUUAUUUAAGUUUACUGAGGUGUUUUUUUUUUUUUUUUAACAAUGUGAAACAAUUUUGCAGUAUAAAUCUUUAGAUGAUGCCAUAGUUUUUACCCAGCUAAAACAUGGAAAGAAGCCUCCUUUAUGUCAACCUUUUGAAAGAUGUAUUCUGCCUACCUGGUUUUCCUUGUUCUGUCAUAGUUAAUCAUUUGUUAUGAUAUGCAGAAGACAGGAUAUCUUGAACUCUGGGAAAUAUGAAGCAACAGAAAGAUUUCUUGAGAUCACUACAAUACAACAGUUUGUUAAACAUUAAGUUAAGCAUAAUUAUGCCCAAUGAUGAAUAAAAAAUGCAUAUUUGAUUUCUAAGGUAAUAUCUAGGUCUCAUUCGUGAAGAGAUGUGUGAAACUAUUAGCCACUAUGUAAAUAUGUAACUUAAGUAAAAAGUACUUCAGUGGAAAAAUAUUAUUAAUGGAUUACUACAUUAAUUUACACAAACUACACAAACACAUCAAUUGUGUUUCCUCAAAUUCAUAUGUUGAAACCCUAACCUUCAGUACUUCAGAGUGUGACCUUAUUUGGAGAUAAAAUCUUUACAGAGUUAAUCAAGUUAAAAUUAGGUCAUUAGGAUUGGCACUAAUCCAAUAGGACUGGUGUCCUUCUAAAAAGGGGAAAUUGGGAGACAUACACAUACAGGGAGAACACCACGUGAAGAUAAACGCAGAGAUUGUGGUGAUGCUUUUACAAAUCAAACAAUGCCAAAGAUUUCCAGCAAAAUACCAGGAGCAAGUAGAAAGGAAUGGAACAGAUUCUCCCUCAAAGCCAUCAGAAGUGUUUUCCCUGUUUAACCCAUCCAGUUUAUUGUACUUCAUUAUGGCGGCUUGAGCAAACUAAAAAAAUUAUACGUCUGACCUAACAUGGUCUACAAAAUACUGCUUAUUGCUGUGUUUAUUGUUCACAAAAUGGCUUCUGCCUGUUUGGUUUGUGUAACUCUCCAUGGCUACUAGUAUAAGAAAAAUAACAACAACAAUAAUGUAAUAGUAAGAGCUGGCUUUUUGAACACUUACCACAUCUCAGGCUCUGUUUUGACCAUUUCUGACGCCAUAAGAUGAAUGGGUCGUGAAAAAAAGAUUUUUCAUGUAUAAAGAGUAAUUGUAUUACUUUAUUAAACAUUAAUUAUUAAUAUUAAGUGUUUUCAUUAAACUUACAUUAAUAUAAAAAUUGUAACCUUCGAGUGGGGCACUGUUCCAAAAAAAAAUUGAAAAUAUAAAGCCUGAGGUUAGAUGGCAGGUGAUGGGGAUAAGUCUGGGAAUAUGGAAAAAUCUUUGCUAAAAACCACCGCCUAUGCUAAAUUUGAGGGAAGUUUAUAUGCCUACUAAUGAUUUCUAUUUAGAUGCUAAAAUGCUUCAUAGCCCUAGUGUGUGUUGUCUAUCUUUAACCACAGUUCACAAAGUAUUACAAAGAAGCAAUGAGCUCAGGGAAGAAAAAGUCAGCUUGUAAGCAGAAGUGAAAGAAAACUCAUAAAUUUAAGGACUUUCAGCAUUGGAAGAGACUGAAAAAAAUGAACUAAAAAGACUUUUAGUAACAAGACAU
rnacentral:lncRNA from 1 species